AAUCUGGCAUUUUUUUCACACACUGUGAUUUCUCUCUCUCUCAACUCCAUUUCUCUCUCUCAAAUCCUUUCACUGCUAUGUGUUUUCUCCAUGUCUCAACCUUAAUCCUCAUCAUCUAACCAUUCUCCUCCGCUUCAUCCCGAUUUCUUCUUCAUCCCGUUUUUUCGAAGGCAUUCAUACUGUUCCCUUCUUUCAACAUGGGCAGGUCGUGAUCUUCUCAGAGCAAUCAUAGACAAUCAGUUCGCAAUUCAGUUUCUCGUGGCCUCAUCGACUCAAGUAAAGUCAUCUUUGGUGCAAAUUUAGGGUUUCUGUUCUACAAACCCUUGAUAUGUGGUUUCUCACCGAGACUGUGCCUCUGUUCCGCGUUUACAUCCAGUGAUCCUCUCAACGUCCUUACUAGCUGCCCACCUUUUCAUUUCCACUUUCAAGCUGCAGCAAUAGAGGUUGGGGAAUGAAGCCAUUAUUUGAGAUCCCUUCAAUUUCUCUUCAAAUUAGCCAACAUAUACGUCACGCUUAUCUGCAUAAGCUUGCCAUUUCAGCCGCAAGAUGUGUUCACCGUUUCAUCGAUCGAUGUUGCUAUCACCCUUAACCGUAAUUCUUCAAGCACAUAUAUUUCCCCCUAAUUUUGGAGCUGAUUGAAAGUGGCAAAGAUGGAAUCCUGUAAAUUUCUCUUCAAAUUAGGCAAUUGGAUUUGAUGACGUUAGGGACACGAUGAGACUAUUGUUCAUAUGAUCGAAAAGAAAGGGAUAUUGUGAAAGAUGAAUUCUAGCAAGGCAGUGGCUUACUGAUCUGGCUUAUGGUAUGUCAGCUGUUUGAUUAUCUGCAAUGGAGAAAUUCUGCUCUCUCUAUUUGUUCUGGUCACUGCCAACUUUUCAGUAUAAUAUGUGUAUUCCAGUUUCAUAGGCUUUCUAUUUCUUUUUUAUUUAUACAUUUCCUCUAAAAAAAAUUACAACCUAAUUAUGUUCUUUUCAUAUUAGGAAGGACAAAUUCAUCUUUGUAUUAGAAAGUCUUUGGUAAAAAACUUUAAUUUUCAAACAGUUUAUUUUUCUUCGUUAUAAA